GAAACUUAGGAUAACAUAAACCGAAG
rnacentral:tRNA from 1 species